rnacentral:rRNA from 1 species
GGAUGAACGCUGGCGGCGUGCCUAAUACAUGCAAGUCGAGCGAACAGACGAGGAGCUUGCUCCUCUGACGUUAGCGGCGGACGGGUGAGUAACACGUGGAUAACCUACCUAUAAGACUGGGAUAACUUCGGGAAACCGGAGCUAAUACCGGAUAAUAUAUUGAACCGCAUGGUUCAAUAGUGAAAGACGAUUUUGCUGUCACUUAUAGAUGGAUCCGCGCCGCAUUAGCUAGUUGGUAAGGUAACGGCUUACCAAGGCAACGAUGCGUAGCCGACCUGAGAGGGUGAUCGGCCACACUGGAACUGAGACACGGUCCAGACUCCUACGGGAGGCAGCAGUAGGGAAUCUUCCGCAAUGGGCGAAAGCCUGACGGAGCAACGCCGCGUGAGUGAUGAAGGUCUUCGGAUCGUAAAACUCUGUUAUUAGGGAAGAACAAAUGUGUAAGUAACUAUGCACGUCUUGACGGUACCUAAUCAGAAAGCCACGGCUAACUACGUG